AGAGACUACGCCGUCGCCCCCUUCUUGGCCACUUCUGAUCACCCUGGGAGUGUGUGCAGUAUACAGUGUCGUUAUAACUGUAGCAUUUUUUUACCUUUUGAGGAAUAGAAAGAAAAGCAGAAUUCUUCAGGGUGAAUAUAUCAAUGUUGUCCCAAGGCGACCAAAGUAUCAUCAACCUUAUGCACCCACCCCUGUGCAUGCACGGUCCCGCUGACCUCUCUAUUAAAUAACAUCACCUUCUACUACAGUACUGCUCCAUCAGUAAAUCAAAAGCCAAUAUUCACAGCUAACAUUUUGUCAACAUGGAAUUUGAUAUUUCGAAUGCACUUCAUGGAUCAGUGAAAAUACUAAUUUCAAGCAAAAAUGGAUCUAUGGAGUAUUUAACUCUUUCACACCAGCAGAACGCUGUAGCUCAUUAAAUUUUAGGGCUAUUUGUGUACAUCUUAAAUGAUGAUAAAACACCUCGUCUUGCAAUAAAUUGAGAAUUCAUUUGAUGAUGAAAACUUUCUGAAUACAUUAACAUUAAUUUGUUGCAAGUGUUUUUCAAUAGCCAAUCUUCCCCCCACCACUUUCCUUAUUUGGGGGAGCCAAUGGGAACUUGUUACAUGGCUUAAAUAUUUUUUUCAGCAUUAUAUCUUAUCAUAUCAACUGAGGCCAAUUCGGGACAAAUAUGUAGCAGGGUUAGGCUUGUGAAGUCUGGAGUAUGAACUUUUAGUUUUCACAGGAAUUUUUAAAACCCCAAAUUAAAUUACAGGUAAAGGAAGCAAAAUAAUUUUGUUGCAAUUCCAAAAUUCUUUAUGUUAAUUGAAAAAAUUGCUAUUUCAGGGGUUGAUCCCAAUCCUUUGCAAAAUGUAUCUAAUGAAUUAUAUACAAAAUCUUUAUAGACUUUUUUUUAUUUUUUAUAAAGGAUUUUAAAUUGUUGUAAAUUCUAGUACCUCUUUAAUAAAUCUACAUAGACAUUUGCUGUUAACCCCAUGUAGCCCAGCUCCCAACUGCCCAUGUCACUGAAACAUAGGGUUAUCAAGUAGGUCAGGCUCAAUGCACCAGAGAAUCACUGAUAAAUAUUUUAAAGUGUUAAUUAAUUAUUGAUGCACUAUUGGAAGCUACUUCCUAUCAUUAUCUUUGCUUGGGUCUGGGAUAUGCUGGAGGGAGAGAUAUGAGCUAGUAAAAUUUACAAUGGCAAUAGCAUCUAAGUAUCCAAACUUGUUCAGUAGAUAUGUUUUCUAUUUUUCAUUUGUUUUGCAUUAUCCAUAUAAUGCAAAAACUAGUACUAUAUAUAAAACAAAUCAAAAACAUUGGUCUUCUUCUAAAUAAAUGUAAUAAAAAAUCCUAAAUAAAGUGUUUUAUAUUAUUA